UUUAAUACCACGUCUGCAUUACAACAUCAGAUCUAUAUUCUGGUGUUGCAUUACUCAUGGGGGGAAAAUUAUCUCAUAUCCUUUCUCAUCCAAAAACUCAUUAAAAACUACUUCUUCCCAACCACUGCUUCUCUCCUGCAAAGCUCAACAAUUCUCUCUGGUAUGAAGCUGCAGCAGAGGCAAGAGUAACCUGACAGGGAAAUCAUCCAUCAAUAGUCCAGAUUUAGGUUAUAGAAAUGGAAAAUGGACACUGUUGUAAUGGUUCUUUUGAAGACCCUGACCUGGAGUUACACACUGAAUUUGGCUCUUUGCAGGAAUGGGACCUGCUCACGAUUGCUGCUAUUCGACACACCAAGGACAUGCCUAGAAGAUGAGUGUGCCUUCAGGGUUCCGGGAUUUCGCGGCUCUGGAGACUGGCGGACUCGAGGUCGGUGCCUCUGCAGGAAACUGGUGUGUUGAGGAAGACAGAGGUCAAAAGCAGCAAGCUGUCUGUGUGCCCAGAGACCCGAGUUCUUUGGGCACAGAGCUGGGAAGAAUCAACACAACAGACUUUUAAUAUCGUAAAUCAGCAAACCAUCAAUUGAGCAACCGCCAUCAAACUCUGCUGUCUCCGAGAAAGUUCGGGAAGGCAAGCGGCCUCGAGACCAAGGAGCUCAGAAACCAUCACUGACACCAUUUCUCGCUGAUUAAAGCGCCGAGGAAGAUCGAAAACAUUGAGGUGAAUGUGGAAGGGGAGCAAGUGUUGAGCGCCAUCCACCAGCCUCUCGCUCGCUGCUUCCGGAGGAAGACAUCAGCACAUGACGGUCUCCCUCGAUGCUGUUGAAGGGUGUUACCCAAGUUCUGGGUCUAGGAUUUGAGGAUUGGACUAUAGAUCCUGGUUGCUCCUUAUCUGUUGCUAUUUUGAACCAAGACAUACAGCAGAUAAUGAACACUGAGCUGAACUGAACAUGUACUGUUUGACUGUGUUUUAUAUAUUAUAUGUUUUUGCAUGUUCUUUCUUGUUGCCAUUUUCGCAAUUUGUUUUUUGUGUUGGGGGGGGGGAGUUUGUUGUUUUUUCUUUGAAUGGGUUCCAUGGUUUUCUUUGUUUCGUAGCUGUCUGUGGAGAAGAUGAAUGUCAGGGAUGUAUACUUUGAAUUCUUUAAACUUCCAUCUAGUCAGGCUUGUCAAGUGAUGACAUGCACUCCAGUCGAUUAAUAAUCUUUUAUCAUUCCAAAAAUUUGCACUGGAUCUGAAUUUCCUUUGCUGUGAUGGGACUACAUUAAAAUAACCUGCCAGGCUAUUGUAUGUAAUUGCUGCUGUUCUGUUUUCUUUAUGUUGACAGUUAACUUGAAGCUGUUUGACAGAAAAUAGAGAUGAAAUCUCUGUGGCUUUCUCCGAAAUGGCUUGAAUCAUCCAGUGAUUGAGUGAUAUGCAGAGCUAAUAAAAGACAAGUGUCACUUACAAAACACAGCUGAGAAAUGUGCACUUGUAUGUAGAAGGAUUUUAAGAAAUUAGUGUUGAUUUGGAAUGCUGGGGAGUAUAGGGUGCUGUAUUUAAUUGCUGUGAAAAUUCUAUGCUCCAUUUAAGCAAUAUACAGCAUCAAUAUAAUAAUUUCUAAAUUACAAUAAGUAUUGGCAUCACACAGCAGAUUAGAUCAAAUCUCAUCUGCGAAAAAUAAUCUAUGGGGAAGAAUCUUCUUUUCUAGGUGGUAUGCACUUACCCCAAUUUAUACAUUAG